AGGAUGAACGCUGGCGGCGUGCAUAACACAGUUCAAGUCGAACGGAGUUACUUGAACAAUCCUUCGGGUGCGCGAUAGUAACUUAGUGGCGGACGGGUGAGUAACGCGUGAGCAACCUGCCUCUGUAUGGGGAAUAACGUCGGGAAACUGACGCUAAUACCUCAUAAUGCAUAAGGACCGCAUGGAUAAGGUUACCAAAGAUUUACCGCACAGAGAUGGGCUCGCGUCUGAUUAGGUAGUUGGUGAGGCAACGGCUCACCAAGCCGACGAUCAGUAGCCGGACUGAGAGGUUGAGCGGCCACAUUGGGACUGAGAUACGGCCCAGACUCCUACGGGAGGCAGCAGUCGGGAAUAUUGCGCAAUGGAGGAAACUCUGACGCAGUGACGCCGCGUAUGGGAAGAAGGUUUUAGGAUUGUAAACCAUUUUAGACAGGGAAGAAUAAUGACAGUACCUGUAGAAUAAGCUCCGGCUAACUACGUG
rnacentral:rRNA from 1 species